GGGCGGAUAGCUCAGCUGGCAGAGCACCAGGAUCACAACCUGGGGGUCACAGGUUCGAGCCCUGUUCCGCCCA
rnacentral:tRNA from 1 species